UACGUAGGGUGCAAGCGUUAAUCGGAAUUACUGGGCGUAAAGCGCGCGCAGGCGGUUUUCCAAGUCAGUGGUGAAAGCCCGGAGCUCAACUCCGGAACUGCCAUUGAAACUGUUGAACUUGAGGACGAGAGAGGUGAGUGGAAUUCCCAGUGUAGAGGUGAAAUUCGUAGAUAUUGGGAAGAACACCGGUGGCGAAGGCGGCUCACUGGCUCGUAUCUGACGCUCAGGCGCGAUAGCGUGGGGAUCAAACAGG
rnacentral:rRNA from 1 species